GCGUAGAUAUAUUACCUACAUAUAAGAAUAAAAUGUAUUAACCUCCUUUUGCAAAUAGGAAAUAAAACGCAACCAACGCCUAAGUACCUAUGAAGAUAA